rnacentral:lncRNA from 1 species
AUGGCAUUCUUGGAUUUUUGCAGACUCUCUCUUUGUUAUGCUUUUCAUAUAUAGUGGUUUUAAUUGUGCUUGGUAACAGGUCAAAGAGGAAAUAACUGGUAUGGCUCUAACAAAACAAGAGAUAACAGCCACGUUUUUAUUUAGAGGUGGCAUAAUGCCAAAGGCAUACACUCAGUCCUAUGCACUCACAUUCGCCCACUCGGUCCCUUUGUGCCUGCCCCCGUUUCCUUCCUGCCUUGGCCCUACUUCAUGAAUAAUCAUAGUAUGAAUGAUGAAAUACAGCUAUGAAAUGUUAUGUCAAUUAAAGAGACUUUAUAUGAUGCUAAUUAGAUGAGGAACUGAAGAUGCUUGUCUCCUUUUUCCUCUAAAUUAGUUUUAAUCAAUCUGAACAACAUCCCAAGGAAACAUUUUCAAGGAGAAUUGCAAAAUGGUCAUCAAGAGGAUGAUUUUCCCUGCUCACUAAAUAUGAAAAUCACUAUGCAACAAGUGCAUGAUGUCAAACCCUGGCGUUUAUUAAUAAUGAAAGUAUAGGUCAAAGAGCUCCGGAGCUGGGGGUGGGAGGAUACAUUUAAAACACAUGAUUAAACCUAAGGCACAUUCAGGACUUCACAGUGCUAAUUUACGUAAAAUGAUGUAUUAAAUCUCCACCUGGCAAAGUCAUUUUCAUGUACAAUUCAUUUUCUUGUGUGCCAUGAGAGUUAGGGUUUCUCAUACUAUGAAGAAAUAUAGGGCUCAUUCUGAAAUAUAUAAAAAAUAAAAUAUGCUAGAGAAAAAGGAGUCUGGAUGUCACUUGGCCCACACUUAACGGUGGGUAAGCAUGCGGUUUGGGGCGUCAAACAGACCUUGUGUUCAAUUCCUGUUUCUGGCACCUAACUUACCUUGGGCAAGUUCCUUGGCCUCGGUUUCUCACCAGUAAGAGAGUGUCAUAGAAUUUACCUCACAGGGCGUUUAAAGAAAUAAAUGAGACGAGAUUUAACACCCCUUGAAUCCCUGGAACAGAUGUUUGAGCUAUCACAAGCACUUAGCUAGUUCUAAUACAUGCAUUCCGUAAAUCUUUGUAGCUUGUUUACCUUGUGGAAGGAUAGGACUUUGCUGGAUCCUUUCAAACAGCUUUAAAUGCUAUUUAUUAAAUACGCUAUUAAAUGCUUAUUUUUUCCAAAAAGCAAAGCAAUUUAACUAUGUCAUAUAUUUUGUUCUGUUGCCCUAUGACUUGGACAUGGUGUGUAGACAUGAUGAUAAUGACAUCAUGGAAGUUUUGGAAGUGAAAGCAAUAUUUCCGUAAUGCUGAUAAAAGUAUAUUUAAGCGAACUGGGACCUAACUGUUUUAAUUGCCAGAAAAAUCCAAUUUAUCUUGAAGCAAAUUCUCUGUUCUUAAUUUUCACACACUAAUUUUCCUUCUAUCCCCUAGAGCCAGAGAAUCGAGAUAGCACUUCUACAUGACAGCAGAGAUUUUGCAUCAUAUCCACACCCUUAUAGCCUCAUGUUGUUGUUGUUGUUUAAAUCAUUGUCCCCAACAUAGUCUUUAGUCAUUUAGUUGGUUCUUAAAGGCAAAUACUUAAUUGUUCAAAAAUGGACUGAAGAGGAGUUCCUGUCAUGGCUCAGUGGUUAACGAAUCUGACUAGGAAGUAUGAGGUUUCGGGUUCGAUCCCUGGCCUUGCUCAGUGGGUUGAGGAUCCGGUGUUGCCAUGAGCUGUGGUGUAGAUUUGCAGACAUGGCUCAGAUCCCAGCGUUGCUGUGGCUGUGGCGUAGGCCGGCAGCUAUAGCUCCGAUUGGACCCCUAGCCUGGGAACCUCCAUGUGCCACGGGAGUGGCCCAAGAAAUGGCAAAAAGACAAAAAANGGACUGAAGAAUGAACUUCCCUUAAAGUAAACUUCCUGAUUCCCUGGGUGCGCUACAGUGCCCACCAGCAUUUCUGGUGCUUCCUUACUCUAAACACCCAUAGUUAGCCAGUCAUCUUUCAGAUCCCUUAGUCUGAGUGCCCAACAGACACACCGAGAGGUGGUUUCCUUGUCUCUGCUGACCAGCCGGUCCAUCUAUGAAACACGUGCCUUAACGUUCUUCCUGACAUUGACUUAAAACUUUCUAACUUCUACUAACCAUUCUUUUUCUAACUUCCACUCUAUUUCUGCCCUCUGGACCUUCACAAAUGCGUUUAUCACAAUGCCCCCUUUCUCUCACUUAUUUGCUCCUAUUUUACUCUUAACAUGCCCAGUUCCAUCACUGUUUUUACAACAACUGAUGAAGUUUUCAGUUCGGGUUGUGAGGGGAAAGGAACAUUAUUAUCUUUUAGUUAUUGCCCGUGUAAAAAGCAACAAUUUUAAAAAUGAUUUUCAAGGCACUUGAAAAGUGGUCUCAAAACAAGUGGCUUUUUCUCAGAAUGAUGAGUUCACACUUCGAGUUGCCUUUGAACACCUGUGUGUCCUGAACUCAAACAAGUUUUCCCUCUUUAUCCUGUACUUUCUAAUGAGUUGUCAUGGACACUUUUAAAGGUUGUUAAUCAUGAAGGAUGUUUAGGAAAUGAGGUCUGAUACAUGUAAUAAGUCUUAUUUUUUUAUUUUUUGCUUUUUAGGGCUGCACCAGUGGCAUAUGGAGGUUCCCAGGCUAGGGGUCAAAUCAGAACUACAGCUGCUGGCCUACACCACAGCCACAGCAAGGCAGGAUCCAGCCGUGUCUGCAACCUACACUACAGCUCACAGCAAUGCCAGAUCCUUAACCCACAGAGCAAGGCCAGGGAUCAAACCUGCAACCUCAUGGUUCCUAGUCAGAUUCGUUUCCGCUGCAUCACGACAGGAAUUCCAAGCCUUAUUUUUUAAGUCAUAUGUAAAUACUUGGUAUGAAUAGUAUGGAAAUAGUAUGUGAAAAGUGACUGACACAUAAAAGAUUCUCAAUAAAUAUCAGUCAACAAAUAAUCAGUUUCACAUAUUCAUUCUAUUUAAUUGACUUGCUUUUUUGUUUAUUUUUCUUAAAAAAUCUGUGUUUUGGGGGAAACUCCAGGUUUUUGCUAUGAAUCAUGUGUAUGCCCUGCCCCAUCUGAGAUUUGGUUUCAGAUAGUUAAAUUGGGGCUAGGAAGCUAUAAUCAUCAAAACAGUUCUGGUUCUGUUUUGCCAAGUAGUUUGAGAAUCAUCUUCCUAAUAUAUUUGGAAACUUGAACUAAAAAGUUGUGACUAAAAGAAGGAAGUAGGGUGUCAGUAAAAAUAGGCUAGCUUGAGACAAAUAUGAAUGGCUAAUGAAACUUUCGAAUGCCUAGUUUUUUGUUUUUUUUUUUAGUUAUUUACUUGGUAUGGUUACAUUCAUGCUUCUGGCAAUCCCUUUAAGAGUUAAAGGGGUCCGUGACAGCUCAGGCUAAAGUAUCAAAGAGAUUAGAAAAGAAAGAAAUUUUUAGUUGUGAUGGCCAGGGUUCAGGAAAGAGUUAAGGUUAUAUGGAUUUAAUAUGAUGAGUAAAUAUUAUUGUACUGAAGAUUUGGACUUUAUUUUAUUCCCCACUUAUAAAAGAAAGGUCACAAUGAUCUCCAAAAUUCUUUUCUUUAUAUUUUUGGCAUAAUUAUCCAGAUCAUUUUUUUCUCCCUCACCGCACUGUAUAACCUCCUUGAAGAAAAUGUGUUUAAGUUCAAAGGCAUUUUACUGAGCCUGAAAAAAAUUACCUGAAAGUAUUGGGUUAUGAGUUUCUCUCUGCCUGUUUAAUUACAAAAUGUAAAACAGUUGGGUCUAAGUACCUUAGUUUCUAAGUAUUUUCUUUAUACCCUGAUUUUUGCCAUCAUCUGCCAGUAAACUCAAAUACCACCAUUGACUGAGCAUUCAGAUCAUGGCUAACAAUCUUCACAGCAAAGCCAGGGAAUCUCCAUAUGUAGCUUGUGUCUUCAGAAACUCAUAAGCAGUCAUGGAGGUGUUGGGAGCACAGAGUCACCUUUGCAGACAGCCUAGACCUUUAGGCACUUGCCUAAUUUCUUUGUUAGUAGGACCCUUUGUUUUCAUUUUAUCAGUCCUUUUUUUGUGUGGGAAGGGGGGUUGUAUAACUUUCUCCAAAAGGCUCAUAUUCUAGGGGAAAAAAGUGAAAACUGAAAAAUGGAAAAUAUGAAGGGUUUCUAGAGGACCAAUAAAAGAAUCUCACCUUAAUUUCAGAAUUUUUACCAGCUGUAUGAGUGGUUCAUUAAAUUAAGCUGGUGUGCUAUUUGAGGUGAUGCAUUGAUUGGGUUGUAAAAAAAAAAUUUGUGAUUGGCUAAUUGCCUCCACUAUCUAUAAGGUCCAGAGAAGUUUCACAGCACCUUUGGGUCUGAGUGCAACUUAGGAAACAGCUUUUCUCUGAAGGUGAGGACCCAUAUCCUUCCCAUUUGCAGGCGGUGCCUUUUUUAAAAAAGGAAAACCAGGUGGAGUUCCCUGGUGGCUCAGCUGGUAAAGGAUCUGUCGUUGUCACUGCUGUGGCACGGAUUUGAUCCCUAGCCCACAUGCCAUGGGUGGGGCCAAAUAGAUAAAUGAAAGGAAAACCAGAGAUCCAUUCUGUACCUAAUUGAACACUGAUGUAAUCGCAGGGCGUGCAGUACAGAGCUAUGUAGUCUAGUGACGCAGGAAUGGAAAAUGUAGGGUCUUCUGCUCCCUUGGCUGUUUCACAGACUCACAGAUAGAUUUGGAGGAAAAGUUUUCAACUCUUUGGAAGCAACACUCUUUAAUGCAGAAAUUAUUAUGAUGAUUAAAAACAAAAAUGAGAUGUACGGCAGUGCUGGCAAACACUUUCUCCAGUCUGUGUUUUAGAACCUUCACUCCCACCUUUGGGAGAGUGAAUUCAGUUGAACAUUCUGAAUUGUAUUGUUUUCAAUGAAGUGCAAAGGUAAUAAGACCCUCCACACAAAUGUGGUAUAAUCAGAAUAAUUAGAUGUUAGGUCCAAUUUGACUGAUGAUGUUGAUGGAGGGCAAUUCGGAAGAAGAGUGUAGCCCUCUGUGGGAAAAUGUUUGAGGCUAGGCUCCACCAUGGGUGGCCUUGAGAAAGCAGGGCUGACUCGGAGGUGGGCAGGGAAAUACAGGUCAAUCUUCUCCCUAGUUGACAUCACCAGAGAGCACACACGAAAGUCUGCUUGGGUUGCAUUAGUGGUUAUGAGAGAUACUGGAAGCAGAAGAGAAGCCAUACAAAAAAUGGAAUAGGCUAUGCCUCAGGUAUAUAAAAUAAGUAGUAGCU